CGCUGCUCCGUGAGCUGUCGGGGCUGUGCGUGCGGCUGUGCGUGGGGCUGCGCCCACACCGGUACGUGGGCUCAGCGAGAGCACUUCAGGUUUGGAUCCUGAGUGCUUGACUCGCGUUUCCUUACAAUUUUGGAUCUGCUGCUUUUCUGCACGGUUCAUGGAGUUGGAAUAAGAUUGUCCUAUGGGGCAACGCACAGCAGAUUAGGAACGUGCUCACAUGAGGUGAUCCAAAAGUGCUCUUUUAUGAGCGUUUGUUCUCCUUCCAGCUCAGGAGCAGCGCUGGGCGAGACUCACCUCCCUGCACGGGGAUGAAGAACAUCAUAAUAUGUUUGAAGCAAAGAACUGCAGAUAGGGAGAUUUUCAAAAAGCCAUUUGUUUACCUGGGUGAGGCAUUCAGACCAAAAGCGAAGGGUUAUUCAGGAAAGAACUCAAGCAUGUGGCUACAGCACUGGAGCAGACCCAUUCAGCCUCAGCUCGCAGCAGCACAGCUAGGGGUGCAGUGGGGUUCAUCAGGCCAGCACCUCCUCCUGGAGCUGAGCACAAGCCUGCACUCCUGGAUCAUGCCAUCCUGGCCAUUUAUUUGCCUGAAACUUAAACCUAUGCACUUCUCCUGGUGGUUGCAAAGUUUGCCACGCUCUGUCAAGCCUGCAGCGAUUACUUAUGGGCCACAGAUGGAUGCCUCAGCUCACUGGAGAGAUGUGUCCUGUAAUGCAUGCUGCUUGUUCACAGCUGAUCCCGAAAGAAGCUGACAUAAGGGCAUCAAGGAGCAUAAUUUUCCAGAAAUGCACUCCCUGCAUUUCUGACUGAAAGGGUAUGUGCAGAGUGGUUCACUGUGGCAGAGACUGAAGUGUUUGAGAGGUUUGUACUCCAGCCUGCUAUUAACUAUUGGUAGCACUGACUGCAGGGCUGCAGGCAGUGCAUGCUUUUAGCUUGAAUUUUCACUUCUUCAUUCUGGAAGGAAGAAUGGGAGAAAUGUUCUGGGUGCAAAUUCCGUGUGUGUCUCACGCCAUCUGCUAAUAGCAUGUGUGAGCUGCUCUACUGCCAGAAACCAGGAACAAAGAUAACAUCACUGCAGAGAGAACUGCCCUGCUCCCAAGUGAGGCUCGUACUGCAGGAAGCUACCGCUGGUCCUGAGCACAUUCACCAGAGUCUUGAGAGUCUGCUGUGCCACAGCUGGAUGCUCAUCCAUCUGAGAACCAGGCUUUUCUCUGCCUUUCCACAGCCUGCAAUGCAGUCAGGAAGCAAAGGAUACUAAGGGAUGUUAGCAGCUGCCAAACUGCCAGAGUUACCACAAGGCCUGACGACACGCUGCUGCUGCACCAGGCAGGAUGGGACGGCGGGCUUGUCUGCACUGCUGGAAAGCAAGCAGCCAGGAACGGGCACGCACAAGCAACCUGCAGAGCUCGGUGACCACAUUUCUUUGGUGUCUGCUGCCCAGCUGGAAAAGAGGUGUGCCUCUCAGAGUGUGCAGCCCUGAGGACCACAGAGGGAGGUGGGAGCAGCACAGUGGAAGGCAGAUGGACCUUGACGAUGUUGGCAAUACGUCUCCAUGCAAAAAAACAAAGCUGCAGAUCGCAAGAUGAUGAACAAUGCUGGAUAUUCAUCAACCUUAUUUCAAACAUGGAGUAACUAUGAUGUAAUGAGAUUAAGAAAUCUGCUUGAUGCCAUUAAAUGAAUUAGCAGCCAUACAAAGAUUAGAAAACAUUUCCCUAUUCCUGGCUCUGCUCGUAAUCCACUGGACACGAACGCCCGAACCACUUCUUACUGCCAUUCGCAGUUUCAGCAAAGGGGUGCACUGAAGGAGGCAUUAAUUCACUCCUCAGGGCUUUUUAAGAGACUUUUAAGUGACCGAAAGAGGACUUCAGAUGCUUCAAAGAAGAGAGAACGAUGGCACUAUGGUGUCACUUCGGGGACUGAAAUUCAGUCUGCAAAAGCUCAUACAAAUUCAAAAGAAGGAGAAUCGUGUUUAUGCAGAGCUGAGGCUCUGUGCAUAUAGAAGUGUGGGUUUUGGUAGACGUUGUGAGCUUCAGGAGGCCGUUGAAGGGAAUAAAGCACAAAUAUACAGCCAUGAUAUUUUACGAUGUUUCCUUUCUUAGGCCUUUUUGGGGGUUAUCAAAUCUUUGGUGGAUAUUUGGCAUAUGGUUAAGUAAACUCAGGAGGAAAACCUAAAGGUAAGAAAUUGAAGCAACUGAUUAUGCAAAUUCUAAACUUUUCACAGUUAUCCACUGAGGACUGCUUAGGUCCUUUGUGUUACCAGAAGUCCUGCAGUCAGGACGUACACAGCCUCUUUAUGACUUCCACGUGAUAGUGCAGUUGUUCCAGAUGGAUAUCAAUUCAAUUAAGAGCAAAGAGUGAUUUGAGCUAUAUUCAGUGAAUUUGGAAGUACCGUUGACAUCAAAUUGCUUUGCCUCUGGUGGGUUUUUUUAAGCACCCACACAAGUCACUAUGUUUAAUUUUUAAAAAACCCUUAUAAAUACAACAUAUGAAGGAAAACACUGCUAGAUUAUUCUCUUCUUCUUGGUUUAGAACCUUUGACAGUAAGCUUACAAUUCUAACACAUCACUGACGUCCAUGCCUUCCAAGACAUUCUGGAACUUUCUCUUUGCAACACAGCAUGGAGGAGGCUGAGGAUAAGUGGUUGCAAGUUUACACAUUAUAAGAGAUGUGAUGUGAGCUUGUAAUUCAGGUUCUGUGUCAUCUGUGGGAAAAACCAUAGAAUGCUCAUCUCUACUCCUUGCACACACCCAGAU
ensembl:lncRNA